UACAGAGGGGGCAAGCGUUGUUCGGAAUUACUGGGCGUAAAGGGCGCGUAGGCGGCCUGUUAAGUCGAACGUGAAAUCCCCGGGCUCAACCCGGGAACUGCGUCCGAUACUGGCAGGCUUGAAUUCGGGAGAGGGAUGCGGAAUUCCAGGUGUAGCGGUGAAAUGCGUAGAUAUCUGGAGGAACACCGGUGGCGAAGGCGGCGUCCUGGACCGAGAUUGACGCUGAUGCGCGAAAGCUAGGGGAGCAAACGGG
rnacentral:rRNA from 1 species